GCCCCGGUAGCUCAGUGGCAGAGCUACUGUAUGUGGUGAGCUAAAGCGCCUAGCAAUAACUAUGAGGAGGUCGCAUGUUCUAAUCCUGCCCGGUGGCC